CGCAGGUCUCACAGAGGAAGGACUUGUCCUGGACCGCAGAGUCCGGGAAGGCCCACUGCACGGUCUCUGGGGUGGUGAAGGUAAACACCGCCCUCCGGUUAAAGCUGCGGCCCUGCCGCUCGAACUCGGACUUGCAGCAGGAGCAGUUCCUGUCCUCCGGCCGCCCGGUACGCCGGCGUCCACGUCGCUGUACACCGGGGGAGGCAGUACUGACAAAUUUAGGGGCUGCUGUCUUCUGGGAGUCCUCUUCGGUUAGCAGCGGCGGCGUAGCGGACGCUUCCACAUCAUUUCCAACGGGGCAGUCCACCUCCGCACCCAAGGCCGGUUCGGGAAGUUCUACCGGCGCGCUCUGCUCGGGCUCAGCCGGUACAUUAAAGCUGUCCUGCACGGGGAAUCCGCCGUCAGUCCCCGGAGUACCGGAGGAGGAGGACGCCUCCGUGGAAGUAACGUGACAGUUACUGGCCGAGGAGUGAGCAUAGUCGUGCUCGGACGGGGGGCAUGUUUCCUCCUCGUUCACCGCGUUGGUCUCGGUGUUUUCACUCGCCAUAGUGCGCGGAGGGGCUCCGGUUUUUGUCUUUUAGUCGAAAUACGCAGAAAGAAAUACUCUAUCGGCGAUCAUCGCUCUUCGCGGAGCAGAAAGCUAAUAACAGUACGAGCUAACACCGGAGCCCGCCACAACAAAGUCCGGGACUUCCAGACAUAUGUUUCAGAGUUAAACUCUCCAGGACGCUUUAAGGGACGUGUGCAGCAACGUUUUUAAAUAUUAGAAAGCGGCAGAGACCAAAUAAAGACAGUUGUUGAAGUAGGAACUGUUCCAGAGCAGAUGGAAAUCACAAGAGUUGUAACCACUAACCAACAGGAUGUAGCCGUUGAUAUACACAAUAGUUUCCGUGUUUCUGUUGACCGGCAGGCUGCUGCUUCUGCUGCUGCUGGUGGUGGUGGCGCCCCCAGGCGGUGGGAGGCAGACACGACACGUCUCUCCUUUAUACAGGACAGGCAGAUGCAGCCGCUGAAGAGUUGUUUCAAGUCCAGGCUGGGCGCUUGGCUCUCUCUCUGGUCCACCUUCCAGUCAUGACAGCAGCAGACUGACAGAGACUGCUACCAAUUUGAAUUCUUUUGAUUGUUGUUUUUUUCUUAUAUUUCUGAUGGGACUGGUAGUUCAGUUUUCAUGGCUUUAUUUCUGUUUGUUUAGUUUAGGGAUUGGUUUAGGGUAGAGGGGAAGCCUCCAGAUCCUAUGGCCCUUUGUGGGCUGGUCUGGAGGGCUUCCCUUCUUUUGUUUGUUUUGGCCAGCCCACCAGACUUAAUAUUUAGCUUGAGUUAAAUUUUGACUUCUUUUAUGGUUUAUUUAAUAAACUUGUGUUUUUUUUG